AUCUAUGACCAUACCAUCCUGAAUACACCCGAUUUCAUCUGGUCUCAGAAGCUAAGCAGGGUUGGGCUAGUUAAUACUUGGAUGAGAGAAAAAUCAACAUUUGAUC
rnacentral:rRNA from 1 species